rnacentral:tmRNA from 1 species
GGGGCCGAUCGGUUUCGACGGUGGCCUGUCCAUCGCAGGGAAGCGUGCCGAGAACGCGGGGGUCUGCUCGUUAACGUCCCUCCGCAAAGAACAAGUGCUAAACCUAAUCGCACUGAGUUCGCUCUCGCUGCCUGAGCUUUCGCGCCAGGAUUAACCAGCGAGUCAGCGACUCCGCUCACGCCGGGUUGUCUUCGCCCGGCAGUUGAACGUCGUUGAGAAGACUUGCUCGAAGCGUUGCGCCGCACGGCGCUUCGGGGACUUUCAGUGCCGCUGGGCCCGCUGCGGGCUGUCCAUGGCAUCCGCAGGGGCCGAGAAAUUGCCGUUAGGCCAAUGGACUGAGCACGGAGAAGACUGCGAGUUUCGGUCAUCGGACCCGGGUUCAAUCCCCGGCGGCUCCACCG